UUGGGUUAAGUCCCGCAACGAGCGCAACCCCUAUCUUAUGUUGCCAGCACUUUGGGUGGGAACUCAUGAGAGACUGCCGCAGACAAUGCGGAGGAAGGCGGGGAUGACGUCAAAUCAUCAUGCCCCUUAUGACCUGGGCUACACACGUACUACAAUGGGAGUUAAUAGACGGAAGCGAGAUCGCGAGAUGGAGCAAACCCGAGAAACACUCUCUCAGUUCGGAUCGUAGGCUGCAACUCGCCUACGUGAAGUCGGAAUCGCUAGUAAUCGCAGGUCAGCAUACUGCGGUGAAUACGUUCCCGGGCCUUGUACACACCGCCCGUCA
rnacentral:rRNA from 1 species